GGUUAUGUCAAGGUGUUUUUGAGAUUUGGUAACUAGUUGGAAUCUAUCAUGUUUUGCUUUUUUGUUCAAAUCACAGCAGGAUCACUUAAGAUCAAAGGAAACACCAAAGCUGUUUUGUCCAUGUUUUACUGGGCACCUGUCAACUAUUUGAGCCACAUAGAAGCAACACACACAGGGCUGUUAUUUUGGGGCCCAGUAUUAUUUUAGGGCAUGUGUCCUAUUCUGUCAAGGCCCAUCAUGUUAAUCCCCAAAGGGCCCUCCAUGUCAAAAAGAAAAAAAAACACCCCAGUUCCCCAGGGGCCUUCAUGUUAAAGAAGUACAGCUCACUUUGGCUUAUAGAAGGGUUUUGCUUUAAGCCCCUACCAAUGGGUUUUAAGAUGCUAGUGUGGGCUUUUGCAGGUAUAUUGCCUUUUUCAGGAAAGUUGUGGUUUCAUAUGAAUUCUGCCCUGUCUACUUUCAUUUUAGCAAAUAACCCCCAUGCAGGUUAAAGCAUUCUGAUCACGACUUGUCUGUUAAGGUGGUCUUCAUGUCUUUUCCAGAGAAGGUACACACAUUCAGAGAAAUCAUUCCCAUGAAUCUUAAGUAUAUCUUAAAACUGCAGCACAAUUAAGGUGUAGUGUGUUGUGGUUUGAAGGCAUACAGUUUGGAACGAUUUAAUGCUAGAUAACAUGUAGUAUGUACAUUAUGGUUGCAUAUGGAUGUCGUUACAUCUGCUGUUCAGGUACAAUCUACACAGAAGGAAAUUGGUUAAUACACCGUCGAAGAGUUCGUGUUUCAGGGGAAAACGUUUUCCUUAUGUUUAACGAAAUUCGUAUGUCGAAAUUAGUCCAACAUUUUCAUUUCGAAUCCCGUUUUGUCCGUCUGGGUUGCCAUGGAAACAAGAAAUAAACGUGUAUAAGUUGUUGAAUUAAAAUGGCAAGAUUCUCCUCACCUUAGUGUAGUUAAAAAGGCGGCAACGGCCACGAACGAACGAAGAUUUUCAUAUUGCGCGCAUUUGUUGUUCGUUAUUAGGACAAAUGGACAAAAUGAUAACAUUUCGUCACGAAACCUAGUUUUUUUUCUUUUAUAAAAGCACACAUAUAAUUUGGUACGUCCCUUAUUUAUCUUUCAGAACAUGAACAUGGAAAGUUGGUAAAACGCUUAAAGCUGUUUAAAACUUUUUGAAAGACUUUUUCAAUUUUAAUAAAGUUUUGCAGCUUUGUUAAA